rnacentral:rRNA from 1 species
GACGAACGCUGGCGGCGUGCCUAAUACAUGCAAGUUGAGCGAUGAAGCUUGGUGCUUGCACCAAUUUGAAGAGCAGCGAACGGGUGAGUAACGCGUGGGGAAUCUGCCUUUGAGCGGGGGACAACAUUUGGAAACGAAUGCUAAUACCGCAUAACAACUUUAAACAUAAGUUUUAAGUUUGAAAGAUGCAAUUGCAUCACUCAAAGAUGAUCCCGCGUUGUAUUAGCUAGUUGGUGAGGUAAAGGCUCACCAAGGCGAUGAUACAUAGCCGACCUGAGAGGGUGAUCGGCCACAUUGGGACUGAGACACGGCCCAAACUCCUACGGGAGGCAGCAGUAGGGAAUCUUCGGCAAUGGACGAAAGUCUGACCGAGCAACGCCGCGUGAGUGAAGAAGGUUUUCGGAUCGUAAAACUCUGUUGGUAGAGAAGAACGUUGGUGAGAGUGGAAAGCUCAUCAAGUGACGGUAACUACCCAGAAAGGGACGGCUAACUACGU